UGGCAGAGCUCCAGGCAGUGAUGGAACCAGGAGGGCAGGAGAGGCUGGCGCGCUGGCGCAGACGUGGUCACCCUGGGGCAGAUGCUCACCACUAGGAGGGCGGCACCCACUGACCCCAGGAUGGGCAGGGCGAGCUCAGGGGGAGGCCCGGUGCCCUCCAGGAAGGGGGGCGGAGCUGCAGAGCAGCCAGGGCCUCGUGCUGCCUAGGCCUGGCCUGCAGCAGUGGCCCUCCCACACCUUGGUUGGGAAUUUUCAGGUUAUCUAAGGGCCUGCAGGAGGGAUCUGAACAUUCUCCUCCUCUUCCAGCCCCGGUGACUUAAGAGUGGGGCGGGCCGGCAUUUACUACCUGAGGGUGAUCACUUCCAGGCUGGGCAUUUCCCGGCAUAUGGAGAUCUAGGAAGGAAAAGAAUGUGAUUUUGCAAAAGUCGCUGGCACUGGCCCUGUGGCGUCACCCCUCUCCAGCAGCCAAGAGAACCAAGUUGGAGCUGCAGUCUACCCCACGCCAAGGGCCUAAGCAGAGGAGCCUCCCUCGCCCCAGGAGCACGCAGGGCUCUGCAUCCCGCUCCCCUCUGCAGCCCAGACGUCCCCUCUACCUGAUGGAGAAACGGGCACCCUCUCCACGACUUUAAACAGCAUCUUUACUACCAAAUGCUGCCAGUCCUCGAGACGGAGCAUUCCUAAUUUUAGAUGCCCUCAAAGGACACCAGUAAGGGGAGCUGAAUGGACAGAGGACCUUUCUUCUUGCUGCCCCUGACAUCCAGGGAAAGGACAGAAGCCGCUUCUGGCCAACAGAGCUGUGCCGAUAGGGAGACAGGCUUGAAACUGGAUCUCAGACCAUCUUAACACUGAGUGAGUGGAAGAGAGCAGCGGGGCUCAGGAUGGACCACGCAGGCUCCCUGACCCGUGAGGCUGAUUAACGGUGAAGCUGCAAAUAUCUGUGUGCCUGCCAGACCCCACGCACGGGCCAGACGGGGUCCCUCCGUCAACAAGCGCACAGUCUGGUCAGAAUGCUUCACAUCUGCGGUGGAUCUGUUCUCUGUGACAGUGGUGUUUGGCUUCGUUUGUUUUUGUUGCUGAAUAGGCAGCACUUCGGCCGCAGAAUGAGGCGGAACUGGCUCUUCUGGGCAGCCCUGACAGCAUCUCCAACUUUGUUUCUCAGAAAAGGUACAGUUCAAGGUACAAAACGGAAGUCAGUAAGAACCCGCUGACUAGCACCCACACUCUGUGCGAGCUGGAGACAUUCAUCCCAGAAACGGGCGGGCGGGGGCAGAAAUCUAUUCAUGGACAUACAGCUCAGCCCAGCGGCCCAGCUCCGUGCUCUGCCCCCACCCAGGCCCCAUCUCUUCCUGCCAUGGGAGUCGGGGUGAAGCUGGAUCUGACCAAGGGGAGGAGCUGAAGUGAAGGGGCUCCUCGGGGACGUGAAGUCCAGGAACCUAUACGAGGAACCUCUGGCUGAGUGCACUGCUCCCUCAAGCCAACCACCCAAGCCCCUGGGGCUCUUCCCCAGGUGGGAGCAGGUCUGUGCCCUGGACCUGCCCGCUCCUCCGUGAGGCCUGCCUUUCACCUGCAGGGGAAUGGGUGCAGGAACACCACAGUGCACUUGGGUCCUGUAGAACUUUUUUUUCAUGAGUGGUUCUGCCUUACAAGAACUGCUCAAGGAACAAAGUACUGGUCGGUCGCCUGGACCGAAUGGGAGCCGUCUGUCAAUUUAACCAGCCUCCUGGGGACCAGGAAUUGUCUGGAGACAAUCAGCAUGAUACUUACAUCAGUGAGGCGGCUGCCCCUGGGGAGAGAAAAAGACAUGCGCACCUUUAUUUUGUUAAAGUUGAAUUUAAAACAUUAAAAACGAAAAUUAAUGACAAACGUCUACAGAUUUCAAGAGUCUGUGAUUUUAACGAUAAAGUAAAAGAAAUCUUUCCCAGAUAACUGACAAAGGUGCCAAAAAUCGUUUCCUGGUUGAUUUUGGACAAAACUAUUUGAUACUGGCAGGCUCCUUCGCAGACUAAGGCACGGCAGAGGUUGCCCCAUUUGAAGGACACCAAGAGGUACUCAUUCUCAAGGCUGCUGCACUGAGGGGUAAUUCCCUCACUAAUGUGCAUAAACAAGGGAGUCUUUGUAAGGGCCAAGUUCAAAGGCUAAACAUGAGACUUAUGAAACACACUUCAGAAAGCCUGGAAUAGGGCUGUUGUGCCUCCCUGCUUAGGGGAAGAAUGACCGCCCCAUGCAGAACAAAGGCACGUAUUAUUGAAAACAAUGACAGGGAUGCCGUGGCCAAAAUACCAGAUGUGCAGCGCAAAGAGAAAGGCUUUUAAUGAACAGGCAGAGCUCACUGCAGCCAGUCUGCCCGACACCAGUGGGAGGACGCUCUACUUCUGGCUGAGCGCCACCUGAACUGUCCAGUGUACAGGGCGCGUGGAGCCGUGCUCUGAACCCCCUGUGAACGUGUGCGGACCUUUCCGGAGUUUCAGAAGUACUUCUGGUCCUUCCUCGGCUCAGCUAGGCCUGGCCGCCCUGCCUUUGAGCCUGCACCUGUAUCUCUUCCUGUCACCUCCCGGACACAGGCCUGGCUCCCAGGGACUGGCUGGCAAUGUCAGAAAUGAGACCUGUCCACAGAGGGAAACGUCUGCCCACUAAAACUACCUAGAAGUCCAAGAACAGUCUUCAAGGCCCCCUGAGCUUAUGGCAUCACCUCCCAGAGGCUGUGAGCCCCUGGGACCGGGCACACCAGCCUGGACAGGGGCCAGGAAGGUGAGGCCAGAGGUGCCCCC